AACCGCGUGGAGAUCAAGAAUGGCAGCAUCCUGUGCCUCAGCACGGCCCCAGACCUUGAGGCUGAGCAGCUCUUGGGUGGGCUGCAGAGUGACAGUCGUGAAGGGCGCCGGGAAGCCCUGAGGCGCCUCGUUCCGCUGGCCUCGGACAUGACUUUUGCCAGGGAGGUCAUCAGCCGUAAUGGGCUCCAGAGACUAGGCACCAUCAUUGAGGAUGGGGACGACCUAGGAGAGGUGCUGGCCCUCAGCCUGAGGGCCUUCUCGGAGCUCAUGGAGCACGGCGUGGUGUCCUGGGAGACACUGAGCAUCCCCUUUGUGAGGAAGGUGGUGUGCUACGUGAACAUGAACCUCAUGGAUGCCUCCGUGCCACCCCUGGCCCUUGGGCUGCUGGAGAGUGUGACCUUGAGCAGCCCAGCUCUGGGCCAGCUGGUCAAGAGUGAGGUGCCCCUGGAUAGGCUGCUGGUGCACCUACAGGAUGAACCAGCAGCUGCAAACCAAGGCCAUGGCCCUGCUGACAGCCUUGCUGCAGGGGGCCAGCCCUGUGGAACGCAAGCACAUGCUUGACUAUCUUUGGCAGAGAAACCUUCGCCAGUUCAUCUAUAAGAACAUCAUCCACAGUGCAGCACCAAUGGGCGACGAGAUGGCUCAUCACCUGUACGUACUGCAGGCCCUCAUGCUGGGGCU
rnacentral:sRNA from 1 species